ACGGGAGGCAGCAGUGGGGGAUAUUGCACAAUGGGGGAAACCCUGAUGCAGCGACGCCGCGUGAGCGAUGAAGUAUUUCGGUAUGUAAAGCUCUAUCAGCAGGGAAGAAAAUGACGGUACCUGACUAAGAAGCUCCGGCUAAAUACGUGCCAGCAGCCGCGGUAAUACGUAUGGAGCAAGCGUUAUCCGGAUUUACUGGGUGUAAAGGGAGCGUAGACGGCAAAGCAAGUCUGAAGUGAAAUCCCGGGGCUCAACCCCGGAACUGCUUUGGAAACUGUUUAGCUAGAGUGCAGGAGAGGUAAGCGGAAUUCCUAGUGUAGCGGUGAAAUGCGUAGAUAUUAGGAGGAACACCAGUGGCGAAGGCGGCUUACUGGACUGUAACUGACGUUGAGGCUCGAAAGCGUGGGGAGCAAACAGGAUUAGAUACCCUGGUA
rnacentral:rRNA from 1 species